rnacentral:tRNA from 1 species
GUCCGCCAGGGCGACCGGGUUCUGCGCUCGGCCUCCCUGGAGGGCCGCGAUCUCGUCCUGGCGGAGCGGGAGCCCGGUCCAGGCCGGGACGGGCGCC